rnacentral:rRNA from 1 species
GAUGAACGCUAGCGGGAGGCUUAACACAUGCAAGUCGAGGGGCAGCACGGGGUAGCAAUACUCUGGUGGCGACCGGCGCACGGGUGAGUAACACGUAUGCAACUUACCCUGUACUGGAGGAUAACCCGGAGAAAUUCGGACUAAUACUCCAUGAUGAUAUUGAGGGGCAUCCUUUGAUAUUUAAAGCUCAGGCGGUACGGGAUGGGCAUGCGGAACAUUAGCUAGUUGGCAGGGUAACGGCCUACCAAGGCUACGAUGUUUAGGGGACCUGGAAGGUGGAUCCCCCACACUGGUAUUGAGACACGGACCAGACUCCUACGGGAGGAAGCAGUGAGUAAUAUUGGUCAAUGGGGGCAAGCCUGAACCAGCCAUCCCGCGUGCAGGAAGACGGCGCUAUGCGUUGUAAACUGCUUUUCCAGGGGGUGAAACUCUCGUACGAGUACGGGAUUGACGGUACCCUGGGAAUAAGCAUCGGCUAACUCCGUGCCAGCAGCCGCCGUAAUAC